rnacentral:rRNA from 1 species
UGGGGAAUUUUGCACAAUGGGGGAAACCCUGAUGCAGCGACGCCGCGUGGGUGAUGAAGGCCUUAGGGUUGUAAAGCCCUUUCAGCAGGGAAGAUGAUGACGGUACCUGCAGAAGAAGCCCCGGCUAACUCCGUGCCAGCAGCCGCGGUAAUACGGAGGGGGCUAGCGUUGUUCGGAUUUACUGGGCGUAAAGCGCGCGUAGGCGGCUGGGAAAGUUGGGAGUGAAAGCCCGGAGCUCAACCCCGGAACGGCUCUCAAGACUUCUCGGCUAGAGACUUGGAGAGGUGGGCGGAAUUCCGAGUGUAGAGGUGAAAUUCGUAGAUAUUCGGAAGAACACCGGUUGCGAAGGCGGCUCACUGGCCAAGUUCUGACGCUGAGGCGCGAAAGCGUGGGGAGCAAACAGGAUUAGAUACCCCCGUAGUCC